AAAUUGAAGAGUUUGAUCAUGGCUCAGAUUGAACGCUGGCGGCAGGCCUAACACAUGCAAGUCGAGCGGAAACGAGUUAUYWGAACCUUCGGGGGACGAUAACGGCGUCGAGCGGCGGACGGGUGAGUAAUGCCUAGGAAAUUGCCCUGAUGUGGGGGAUAACCAUUGGAAACGAUGGCUAAUACCGCAUGAUGCCUACGGGCCAAAGAGGGGGACCUUCGGGCCUCUCGC
rnacentral:rRNA from 1 species